rnacentral:rRNA from 1 species
CAGCCGCCGCGGUAAUACGUAGGGUGCGAGCGUUAAUCGGAAUUACUAGGCGUAAAGCGAGCGCAGACGGUUAUUUAAGCAGGAUGUGAAAUCCCCGGGCUUAACCUGGGAACUGCGUUCUGAACUGGAUAGCUAGAGUGUGUCAGAGGGGGGUAGAAUUCCACGCGUAGCAGUGAAAUGCGUAGAGAUGUGGAGGAAUACCGAUGGCGAAGGCAGCCCACUGGGAUAACACUGACGUUCAUGCUCGAAAGCGUGGGUAGCAAACAGGAUUAGAUACCCGCGUAGUCCCUGUCUCUUAUAA